GCUGGGUGCAGUGGUGUGUGCCUGUAGUCCCAGCAACGUGGAGGCUGAGGCAGGAGAAUUUCUUGAACCCAGGAGGCAGAGGUUGCAGUGAGCUGAGAUCGUGCCACUGCACUCCAGCCUGGGUGAUAGAGGGAGAUUCUGUCUCAG
ensembl:misc_RNA Metazoa_SRP Metazoan signal recognition particle RNA